CAAGGAAAGAAUGAUAGCCUCCAGCUCUAUGGACAGAUCGAGAAGGUUUUUGUUGAUUCUGCGAUGAAAGCACAAGGAACUCUUGGACGCUGGCAAGAAAUCCAAGGAGCCUGUAUUCUAAGACCGAGCAAAGGAGAUCAGUUGUCCAUUUUGUGGGUGGUGUUUUCGCUGGAGCUGCUCCACAGAUCACGUAUCGCUUAACGCCUUGGAGAGAGGUGAGAGUUUCGUAUUGUAUAAAUUGA